CAGAAAGGGGGCAACCCUGGCGGCGAGCGGCGAACGGGUGAGUAAUGCAUCGGAACGUGUCCUCUUGUGGGGGAUAACCAGUCGAAAGACUGGCUAAUACCGCAUGAGAUCGAGAGAUGAAAGCAGGGGACCGCAAGGCCUUGCGCGAGAGGAGCGGCCGAUGCCGGAUUAGCUAGUUGGUGGGGUAAAGGCCUACCAAGGCGACGAUCCGUAGCUGGUAUGAGAGUACGACCAGCCGCACUGGGACUGAGACACGGCCCAGACUCCUACGGGAGGCAGCAGUGGGGCAGUUGGCUGAGAACGAACGCUGGCGGCUC
rnacentral:sRNA from 1 species